CGCAAAGGUGAGAUUUGUGCUGUCAGAAGUACUUUCAAACUUUCUGUUUCACUUUUACCAUAGACGAUAAAAAGAAGACUUUUACAAACGAAAUGUACCUUUCGUCUACCUCAGAUAUUUGCUGUAUGUGCAGCUCUGAGCAUAUCCAUGGUGACUAAAGUGAGUUAUCGUCUCCUGAACCUGAGCAGAAGACCGGAGACAGCAAAGACGCACUACAGGUUUAAUACGACGCAGGCCGUAGCAUAGCCAGUAGCUGAUAGGCAUCUCCUCUGGAGUCUGCUGUAGUCUGCCCCGGCUUCAGACAAAGUGCCUCCAUCAGACCAGUGAGGCUCCCUGGGAACCUAGCAGCAGACCCCCUGGCCCCACCACCAGUCUGUGGCGUGUGUGUGUACGUGUGUGUGUGUGUGUGGGGGGGUGAAUGACGGCUCAGACUAGAACCUUUGUGUUCCAGUCCUGGUGUUGUAAAUGGGUUUUGUAAACUGGUAGAUAUGGAGAUGUGUAGCAUCCAUGAUAUGUAGGCAACAGCAUGAAUGCCUGGUUUAUUCUGAUGUUCAUCUGGAAGCAGCGCACCAAACUAUUACUGACGAUUCAUUAUAUAUGUUUGCAUUCAUGCGGCCGUGCUGUACUCUAUGUGAUGGAGUCGUAUCAAGAUUGACUCUUUCUCAAAGCCCUGACACUGAAGCACACUAGUACACUCAUGCAGAAGCACACACACACACACACACACUCUCAUGCUCCCACUUCAAAUCUGCGCUUGGCAUCAGGGAACACUUGGGAACGCUUGGCUUUUUGACUUUCAUCAUAACUAGAAAGAGAGGGACCAAAUGGACAAAAACAAAAACCAAAGGAGGAAAUCAGAAGAAGUGCUUUUAUCAGGGGCCCAGUGUUCAGGGCCUGACACACACACGCACACACACACACACACACAUACUCUUCCUGUACCUGACCCACAUGUGACCCCCAUAACUUUCCAACAUUUAAAAAUGCAGUCAA